rnacentral:rRNA from 1 species
GAAGAUCGGCCCCCGAGUCUCACAGGGCAUAGUUGUA